rnacentral:rRNA from 1 species
CCUACGGGUGGUAGCAGUGGGGAAUAUUGGACAAUGGGCGAAAGCCUGAUCCAGCCAUGCCGCGUGUGUGAAGAAGGCCUUCGGGUUGUAAAGCACUUUCAGUGGGGAAGAAAGCCUUGGGGCUAAUACCCUCGAGGAAGGACAUCACCCACAGAAGAAGCACCGGCUAACUCCGUGCCAGCAGCCGCGGUAAUACGGAGGGUGCGAGCGUUAAUCGGAAUUACUGGGCGUAAAGCGCGCGUAGGCGGUCUGAUAAGCCGGUUGUGAAAGCCCCGGGCUCAACCUGGGAACGGCAUCCGGAACUGUCAGGCUAGAGUGCAGGAGAGGAAGGUAGAAUUCCCGGUGUAGCGGUGAAAUGCGUAGAGAUCGGGAGGAAUACCAGUGGCGAAGGCGGCCUUCUGGACUGACACUGACGCUGAGGUGCGAAAGCGUGGGUAGCAAACAGGAUUAGAUACCCCGGUAGUC